AUUCAAUUGAUGAGUUUCAAAUAGAACGAGACGCGCGUCCUGGAU
rnacentral:hammerhead_ribozyme from 1 species